CAAAGUAAGGGCGUAUGGGGAAUGCCUAGGCUCUCAGAGGCGAUGAAGGACGUGAUAAGCUGCGAUAAGUCGCGGGGAUCGGCACAUACGAAUUGAUCCGCGAAUUUCCGAAUGGGGCAACCCACUAUAUUGAAGAUAUAGUACCGAAAGGGGCGAACCCGGGGAACUGAAACAUCUAAGUACCCGGAGGAAGAGAAAACAAGAGUGAUUCCGCUAG
rnacentral:rRNA from 1 species